GGGCCCGUAGCUCAGCCAGGUAGAGCGGCGGGCUUUUAACCGGCCGGCGGAGGUCCCGGGUUCAAAUCCCGGCGGGCCCGCCA
rnacentral:tRNA from 1 species